rnacentral:rRNA from 1 species
GUGGGGAAUCUUGCGCAAUGGGCGAAAGCCUGACGCAGCCAUGCCGCGUGAAUGAUGAAGGUCUUAGGAUUGUAAAAUUCUUUCACCGGGGACGAUAAUGACGGUACCCGGAGAAGAAGCUCCGGCUAACUUCGUGCCAGCAGCCGCGGUAAUACGAAGGGGGCUAGCGUUGCUCGGAAUUACUGGGCGUAAAGGGCGCGUAGGCGGACAGCUUAGUCAGAGGUGAAAGCCCAGGGCUCAACCUUGGAAUUGCCUUUGAUACUGGCUGUCUUGAGUUUGGGAGAGGUGAGUGGAACUCCGAGUGUAGAGGUGAAAUUCGUAGAUAUUCGGAAGAACACCAGUGGCGAAGGCGACUCACUGGCCCAAUACUGACGCUGAGGCGCGAAAGCGUGGGGAGCAAACAGGAUUAGAUACCCGUGUAGUCC